rnacentral:rRNA from 1 species
GUAGGGAAUCUUGCGCAAUGGGCGAAAGCCUGACGCAGCCAUGCCGCGUGAAUGAUGAAGGUCUUAGGAUUGUAAAAUUCUUUCACCGGGGACGAUAAUGACGGUACCCGGAGAAGAAGCCCCGGCUAACUUCGUGCCAGCAGCCGCGGUAAUACGAAGGGGGCUAGCGUUGCUCGGAAUUACUGGGCGUAAAGGGAGCGUAGGCGGAUAGUUUAGUCAGAGGUGAAAGCCCAGGGCUCAACCUUGGAAUUGCCUUUGAUACUGGCUAUCUUGAGUAUGGCAGAGGUAUGUGCAACUCCGAGUGUAGAGGUGAAAUUCGUAGAUAUUCGGAAGAACACCAGUCGCGAAGGCGACAUACUGGUCCAUUACUGACGCUGAGGCUCGAAAGCGUGGGGAGCAAACAGGAUUAGAAACCCGGGUAGUCC